rnacentral:lncRNA from 1 species
UGUGUUAUAUGGAAUUUUAAAGUGUAGCCUCCCCCAGCCUGAAGUGGGCUGAUGCAAACCUUGGUGCCACUGAGAAUGAGACCACCUGGGGUGGAGCCUUCAGACCUAGAUGGCUCUAUUGUUCUGUCAGCUGCUGCUGCUCUCCUCCAAGACACUGCUACCUGCUGAGAGGCCCCUGAGAUACUCUGGAGUCACAUCCUAUCCUGCAGGCUGGCUCCAGGCAUCAAGAAUGGAUUGGCAGGUGAUAGACUUUCCCCUUUUUAAGCACAGUCUCUGAGUAAAGUCUCGGGCCUUGAUCAGAACAUUUGUCUUGGCGUCAUUAUCUUUUCUAGCAGUCUAAGUGUCUAUCAGCCCCAGCCUGCCUUCAGAAAUACCCGGUUCAUGUAGGCUCUGGGCCGGCUUACAACAUUAAAGCAUUUACAGAACCAUCAUUAAAAAUAGGAUUUGAAAAAAAUUAAAAUUACAGUGCCCUGAUGUUUAUUGGAAUUUCCCAUCUCAUUAAAUGAAAUGAUUGUUACAUGGUAAAGAGUUGACCCAACCAGCAGGUCCAGUUAUUCGAGGGUCUCGAGGGGACCUUCUCCUAAGAACCAAAUUGGGUGAGGGAGAGAUGGAAACCAAGUUGCAGGUGUGGAGUUUGGAUUGUAUGUAAAAUUACCAUGAUAAUAAUUACAGUGGGACUAACUUGCAUUGAAUUAUCCAUGGAACUCAAACCCACAAGUUAUUUAUACAGCUAUAUUUUAUAUAUGUUAUAAUUGUUAUAAAUAUACCUUAUAUGAACCUUAAUUAUGUUUCUACAUACAAUUCUUUACACAACAAUUUAAUAAAGAAAAUGUGCACAUAAACUUUACACACUAGAAUUUGUAAGUUAAAAAUGGUAAGAUGACCUUCUGGUCGGUGUCAGCACCGUGUCACCAUGGGCGCACAGUUGGCAGACAUCCCCAAGGUCACUAGAGGACUCACCACACGAUCUUAGGACCACUGACCAGAGAGCUCCACGCUCCUCAAAGGAGACAACACUUCCAGGCACUGUAACAUGCCUAGGAUCUCUGAGAACAGGAUCCCAGGAUAAAAAGAGCUUGGUCACACCAGUAUUUCAGGGUCUCAGAGGAACUUGACAGCUAAGAACUCUGACAAAUCCAGAAACUCCAGUUCACAGGAACCCACAAGC